rnacentral:rRNA from 1 species
GACAGAGGGUGCAAACGUUGCUCGGAAUCACUGGGCGUAAAGGGCGUGUAGGCGGGAAGGAAAGUCGGGCGUGAAAUCCCUGGGCUCAACCCAGGAACUGCACUCGAAACUUCUUUUCUUGAGUGCCGGAGAGGAAAGCGGAAUUCCUGGUGUAGAGGUGAAAUUCGUAGAUAUCAGGAGGAACACCAGUGGCGAAGGCGGCUUUCUGGACGGUAACUGACGCUGAGACGCGAAAGCGUGGGGAGCAAACAGGAUUAGAUACCCUGGUAGUCCACGCUGUAAACGAUGAGUGCUAGGUGUCGUGGGUAUUGACCCCCGCGGUGCCGUAGCUAACGCAUUAAGCACUCCGCCUGGGAAGUACGGUCGCAAGACUAAA